UACGUAGGGUGCGAGCGUUAAUCGGAAUUACUGGGCGUAAAGCGUGCGCAGGCGGUUUUGUAAGCCCGAUGUGAAAUCCCCGGGCUUAACCUGGGAAUGGCAUUUGGGACUGCAAGGCUGGAGUUUGGCAGAGGAGACUGGAAUUCCCGGUGUAGCAGUGAAAUGCGCAGAUAUCAGGAGGAACGCCGGUGGCGAAGGCGGGGCUCUGGGCCGUAACUGACGCUGAGGAGCGAAAGCGUGGGGAGCGAACAGG
rnacentral:rRNA from 1 species